rnacentral:piRNA from 1 species
GAUAGUAGGAUGGAAUUUUAUUCAAAGCU